UACAGGGGGUGCAAACGUUGCUCGGAAUCAUUGGGCGUAAAGCGCACGUAGGCGGUUCGUUAUGUCGGAUGUGAAAGCCCUUGGCUUAACCGAGGAAGUGCAUCCGAAACUGGCGAGCUAGAGUACUAAAGAGGAUCGCGGAAUUCCCGGUGUAGAGGUGAAAUGCGUAGAUAUGUGGAGGAACACCUGUGGCGAAGGCGCCUUGCUGGCCAAUUUCUGACGCUGAGGAGCGAAAGCGUGGGGAGCGAACAGG
rnacentral:rRNA from 1 species